GAUGAAGAACGUAGCGAAAUGCGAUAAGUAAUGUGAAUUGCAGAAUUCAGUGAAUCAUCGAGUUUUUGAACGCAUAUUGCGCCCCCUGGUAUUCCGGGGGGCAUGCCUGUCCGAGCGUCAUUGCUGCCCUCAAGCACGGCUUGUGUGUUGGGCCUCCGUCCUCCUCCCGGGGGACGGGCCCGAAAGGCAGCGGCGGCACCGCGUCCGGUCCUCGAGCGUAUGGGGCUUCGUCACCCGCUCUUGUAGGCCCGGCCGGCGCUUGCCGACACAUCAAUCUUUUUUCCAGGUUGACCUCGGAUCAGGUAGGGAUACCCGCUGAACUUAAGCAUAUCAAUAACCGGAGGA
rnacentral:misc_RNA from 1 species